rnacentral:rRNA from 1 species
UUGGGAAUCUUGGACAAUGGGCGAAAGCCUGAUCCAGCCAUGCCGCGUGAGUGAUGAAGGCCUUAGGGUUGUAAAGCUCUUUUGCCAGGGAUGAUAAUGACCGUACCUGGAGAAUAAGCCCCGGCUAACUUCGUGCCAGCAGCCGCGGUAAUACGAAGGGGGCUAGCGUUGUUCGGAAUUACUGGGCGUAAAGCGUGCGCAGGCGGUUUCUCAAGUCAGGGGUGAAAGCCCGGAGCUCAACUCCGGAAUUGCCUUUGAAACUGUGAGACUCGAGUGCGGGAGAGGUGAGUGGAAUUCCCAGUGUAGAGGUGAAAUUCGUAGAUAUUGGGAAGAACACCGGUGGCGAAGGCGGCUCACUGGCCCGUUUCUGACGCUCAUGCACGACAGCGUGGGGAUCAAACA